UGCGUAGGUGGUUGGUUAAGUCUGUCGUGAAAGCCCUGGGCUCAACCUGGGAACUGCGAUGGAAACUGGCUGACUAGAGUGUGGUAGAGGGUAGCGGAAUUCCUGGUGUAGCAGUGAAAUGCGUAGAUAUCAGGAGGAACAUCCAUGGCGAAGGCAGCUACCUGGGCCAACACUGACACUGAGGCACGAAAGCGUGGGGAGCAAACA
rnacentral:rRNA from 1 species